CAGCAGCCACGGAAUACGUAGGUGGCAAGCGUUGUCCGGAUUUACUGGGCGUAAAGGGUGCGUGGGCGGAUUGUUAAGUCAGGGGUGAAAUCCCGAGGCUCAACCUCGGAACUGCCUUUGAUACUGGCGAUCUUGAGUCCGAGUGAGGUGAGUGGAACUGCGAGUGUAGAGGUGAAAUUCGUAGAUAUUCGCAAGAACACCGGUGGCGAAGGCGGCUCACUGGCCCGGAACUGACGCUGAGGCACGAAAGCGUGGGGAGCAAACAGGAUUAGAUACCCGCGUAGUCCCUGUCUCUUAUACA
rnacentral:rRNA from 1 species